rnacentral:rRNA from 1 species
UUAAAUUGAAGAGUUUGAUCAUGGCUCAGAUUGAACGCUGGCGGCAGGCCUAACACAUGCAAGUCGAGCGGAAACGAGUUAUCAGAACCUUCGGGGAACG